rnacentral:rRNA from 1 species
GUAGCCAAAUGCCUCGUCAUCUAAUUAGUGACGCGCAUGAAUGGAUUAACGAAAUUCCCACUGUCCCUAUCUACUAUCUAGCGAAAUCACAGCCAAGGGAACGGGCUUGGAAAAUAACGGCAAGGAAAGAAGACCCUAUUGAGCUUUACUUUAGUCUGACUCUGUGAAGAGACAUGAGAGGUGUAGCAUAAGUGGGAGUUAGCUUGCUGACAAAAAUGAAAUACCACUACUCUCAUUGUUUCUUUACUUACUCGGUAAAACGAAGAGCGGACGUUUGUCCAUUNUUCUAGCGUUAACCGCAGUACAUGUGUACAGUGGGAUUCGCUCCGAGGACAGUGUCAGGUGGGAAGUUUGACUGGGGCGGUACAUCUGUCAAAUGGUAACGCAGGUGUCCUAAGGCGAGNUCAGCGNNGACAGAAACCUCGCGNAGAGCAAAAGGGCAAAUGNNNGNUUGAUACUUGAUUUUCAGUACGAAUAAAGACCGCGAAAGCGGGGCCCCUNGAUCCUUUUGUUNUUACGNGUUUNAAGCAAGAGGUGUCAGAAAAGUUACCAUAGGGAUAACUGACUUGUGGCNGCCANGCGUUCAUAGCGACGUUGCUUUUUGACCCUUCGAUGUCGGCUCUUCCUAUCAUUGUG